GAUGAACGCUGGCGGCGUGCUUAACACAUGCAAGUCGAACGGAGUUUAGCGCUUCCAAAGCUUCGGCAGAGGAUUGUUAAACUUAGUGGCGGACGGGUGAGUAACGCGUGGGUAACCUGCCUUAUACAGGGGGAUAACGUUUGGAAACGAACGCUAAUACCGCAUAAGCGCACAGAGUCGCAUGACUCAGUGUGAAAAACUCCGGUGGUAUAAGAUGGACCCGCGUCUGAUUAGCUAGUUGGUGAGGUAGAGGCCCACCAAGGCGACGAUCAGUAGCCGGCCUGAGAGGGUGAACGGCCACAUUGGGACUGAGACACGGCCCAGACUCC
rnacentral:rRNA from 1 species